UACGUAGGUGGCAAGCGUUGUCCGGAAUUAUUGGGCGUAAAGCGCGCGCAGGCGGUCCUUUAAGUCUGAUGUGAAAGCCCACGGCUCAACCGUGGAGGGUCAUUGGAAACUGGGGGACUUGAGUGCAGAAGAGGAAAGCGGAAUUCCACGUGUAGCGGUGAAAUGCGUAGAUAUACGGAGGAACACCUGCGGCGAAGGCGGGUAGCUGGGCCAACACUGACGCUGAUGCGCGAAAGCUAGGGGAGCAAACGGG
rnacentral:rRNA from 1 species